CUUCCAAAGUGAAUUUUGCCGGAGCUCCUGAGAAAAAAAAACACACAAAACGGGUUUUGGUAAAAUACUUUGCUUCCUCGCACUAAUUGCUGAUUGCUGAAAGAGACUGUGUCCCAAGACAAGACAUGGAGAUCUCCUCCUGAUCACCAGCAGUCUAUCCUGUGUGAUGUGUGUUUGCGUGUGUGUGUAUGUGUGAUUUCUGUAAGAAAGGACCAAAUACAUACUGAAACUGCACAUGGUGUUAUUCUUCAGCUGUUACUGCCAAACCCUGUAGUGCAGUGAAUAUCAACCUUUUUGAGUCGCGGCCCAUCAGAAUAAUCCGAUUGGUGUUCCAGGAUGUCCUGAUGUAGAAAUUAAACACUAAAUAUAACACAUGAAAGGUACUCAACUCACACAGUAAUGUAGAAACCAUUUUUAAUUUAACCAUUAUGAUUAUGUAUUUUGUCCCAUACAACCAUUAAGCAGCCCCAGGAAAUGAUCUUGUGUCCCCCAGGUUGAGAAUAACUGCUCUAGUGGAUCACGAGAGGCCUCUAAAUAAAACCUACUGCGCUCCUUUGACAGGGUCCUUACACAUUUUCCAGUUUUAAUUUCUGUAUUUAUUCUGGUGAUUUAGUUAGUGUUAAGUCAAUGGUUAUUAAAUCCACUGCUGGCCGAUAUUAAGUCUCUAUAGAACUGUGUGUAUCAUGGCUGAAUGACAGUAUUCCUACAUACUCGUAUUACCAAAGCAGAGAGCAGUAACUACAGAAAGUUGGAUAAAGUUAGCUUGAAGUUCGCAUGCAGCAAACUGUUUCUUUUAGCUUUCUUGUCCAUUGACACAGAUGACCUAGUCCACUUAAUUAAUCUAUGAUUCAGUUCAUUUGAAAAUGUGAUUAAGUGUUAGCUUUACCACAUAAAAUCAUGUCAAAUGUCUUUAGUUUUGGAGGCUGAGACAAGAGUCAUAGAUACCUAACUAGCUAAGAGGCUAGUUAGCGUUUAGCCAGAUAAGUUUAACUGGUGUUUUCUUGCUUUCUCCAGUAUGAUCAGAUUUAGCUGCUGCCUUAGUAAUUUGGUACAAUAAACUCAAUUGCUAUGAUGUUAAAGAUUUUCAAAAGCUGAUUUUAAAUGCGGGGAAACACAUGGGAAAAUAUGGGUGAAUUUGCAUACAUCAGCUAGCUAGCGUGGACUCAGGUUGUUUUUUUGUGAUUUCUAGGGCAUAAUGAUUUUGUAGCUGGUUAAACAGAAUUCAAGUAGUCAAAUUGUGGUGUUAACUCAGUUUUGACCCAUGUAGCGUCUGCAGUUUUGCUUUGUCAGGCAGCAUAGUAAGUCUGAGCUUUCCAAGAAAAUCCUACAGUUAUCCUACAGUUAAACCCUGCUUGUAUCUGUAAAUCAACCCAGGCAGAGUAGCUGUUACAUCCAGAUUCAAAUAGAACAAUGUUGAUCCAAACUAACAACAGCUUCAGUAUAUCAGUCAGCGAUUUGCUCAGAAGUAGCAGCUGGGAUUCUGGUUUCAGUAUUGAUUCCUUUAGGCAUUUGUAGCCUUAAAUGGUGUUUUAGUUUCCUCUGUUCAUGAAAGCAUGCUCCCCUCUGGCAAGGAAACAUUUUCUUACUUCUUUUUUUGAUUUGAUUUUGAUUCUUCAAAUGAAAAGGUUACUCACUGAGUGUUCACUUUCUCUAACCUUUAGUAGCAGUGCAACACUUUUAUUGCUGCAGUACGACUCAUCUGAUGGAAUUAAGCACCUUGUAAUUUCUAAUUCAUGUGACAUGACAUGUACUUUGUGAAACCAUCUACUGCUAAAAGACGUGUGUGUAUGUGUGUGUGUUUUUAAAUCCAAAUGAUGCAUUAAGUUCUCAUUCUGUUCUCCAUGCACAGUACUGUUCACUUCUGCUGUCGUAGUGUAUGUAAACUGCACACAUGCUGCAGUUAACCAUAAACAUCAUUCAAUCUUUUAAAUGUGAGGUCAACAACGCUACUAUUUAUUAAUUGUUUCAUUGAGUUUACAUUUUUGCUGUUGUGUCUUCCUUAACGAUCAGAGAUUUUGAACUCAUUUUCAUCUAAUGCCUGACAAUGGAUUGCACAAAAUAUAUGGGAUUAAAUUCUGAAUAAUCAGAAGUGUAUUAUCAGUGCCUAUAUAAAAAAUUCUGAACUUCUGGUAGUGACUGUAGAAUCACUACAUGAUGAAGGCAGACUGUCCCUUAUUACAAAUGUCAGGAGUAUCCUUUCAAUUUAUUGAGAAACACUUGCUGCUGUGGUUUGGAUAUUGGAGGUACGUUAGCAUUAGCAAUGCUAAAGUCAAUGGGACUAAAAUGAUUGCACUGAAAACAUCUAAUUUAUCGCAACUUUAAAUCC